UUUAAAUUGAGAGUUUGAUCCUGGCUCAGGAUGAACGCUGGUGGCGUGCCUAAUACAUGCAAGUCGUACGCUAGCCGCUGAAUUGAUCCUUCGGGUGAAGUGAGGCAAUGACUAGAGUGGCGAACUGGUGAGUAACACGUAAGAAACCUGCCCUUUAGUGGGGGAUAACAUUUGGAAACAGAUGCUAAUACCGCGUAACAACAAAUCACACAUGUGAUCUGUUUGAAAGGUCCUUUUGGAUCGCUAGAGGA
rnacentral:rRNA from 1 species